AGUGAACGCUGGCGGCGUGCUUAACACAUGCAAGUCGAACGAGAACGGAAUAUAGCUUGCUAUAUUUGUCAGCUAAGUGGCGCACGGGUGAGUAAUGUAUAGAUAACCUGCCCUUAAGAAAGGAAUAACAGUUGGAGACGACUGCUAAUGCCCUAUAUGCCUUUAAUACAUAAGUAUGCAAGGGAAACGCUUUAGUGCUUAAGGAUGGGUCUGUAUGGUAUCAGCUCGUUGGUGAGGUAAUGGCUCACCAAGGCUAUGACGCCUAACUGGUUUGAGAGGAUGAUCAGUCACACUGGAACUGCGACACGGUCCAGACUCCUACGGGAGGCAGCAGUGGGGAAUAUUGCACAAUGGACGAAAGUCUGAUGCAGCAACGCCGCGUGGAGGAUGACACAUUUCGGUGCGUAAACUCCUUUUAUAUAGGAAGAUAAUGACGGUACUAUAUGAAUAAGCACCGGCUAACUCCGUGCCAGCCGCCGCCGUAA
rnacentral:rRNA from 1 species